CCAAUGGUGUUCCUAAACACCACCCAAGGAGUGUGUUUGGUUCUCU
rfam:Populus trichocarpa isolate Nisqually-1 chromosome 1, whole genome shotgun sequence.